UCUUCUCCUCCUACUUCUCCCAUACGUCCGUCCUUCCCUCCUCUCGUCUUCUUCUUCAAAAACCCACCCCCACUUUCUAAUUUCUUUUCCCUUCCCCAAAACCCCAAAAUUUCCUAAAACCCUUAUGCGAUUCUAAACCCCUUUUCCCAUAUUCCAUGCUUUAGCACAAACCAUUCUAAACUCCAUCCCAUACAUGAAAAAGAUGCUUCCUUUCUCACACCUCAGUUGCCUAUUCCUUGUACUCUGUUGCCUGUCAUCAGCAGUACAAUCGAACUUGGAAUCAUCUUCUUCAAUCUAUGAAGUACUAAAAUGCCAUGGCUUGCCAAUGGGCUUACUCCCUAAGGGAGUCAAGAACUUCACUUUGGAUAAUUCUGGUAAAUUUGAGGUGCACUUGGAUCAAGCUUGCAAUGCUAAAUUUGAAAACGAAUUGCACUACGAAACAAAUGUUUCCGGUACUUUGAGCUACGGCCAGAUCGGUGAGCUGGCUGGAAUUUCAGCACAGGAUUUGUUCUUGUGGUUUCCCGUUAAGGAAAUCAGGGUGGAUAUACCUAGCUCCGGGUUGAUUUAUUUUGAUGUUGGGGUGGUUUCUAAGCAGUUUUCUUUGUCCUCGUUUGAGACACCGAGGGAUUGUACUGCUGUUCAGCUCACGGAUCAGAUUCAAGAUGGGAAGCACAUAUUAGAGGCUGUUUCAAAGAGUCUCUUGGGGAAGCUCCGGUAUCAGCUUGAUCAGGGAGAUUUUGUAAGGACUGUUCUGUAGAUUUUGCUAGUCAGGAGAGGUCAAGUUGCACUAUAGCUCAAUCAGACCAUGGGUCUUCCAUUAUUCAUUCUAUGUACAUGUCUGCCGAAAGUCUGGUUUAGUGGUCAUAUGCUUCAUUCAGGUGUGCUUGCUUGCGGUUUCAUGUAUAGUGCUGCAAACUAUCAUGCCAGCUCCUAUCUUUUUGACGGUUGUGAUUGGACUCCGAGAUGAGGAGAGAAAGCCAGGAUAUAUUGAUGCUUCAUUUGAGUGUCUAUGAGAGAGAGGAUAUAAAGAUACAGGAGCACUACAUAAAUUACUUGUGAUAGAUUUGCAGAGGCUAAGAAAGUUGGAUUCAUUGAAGACGGCAUAUUUUUGCCAAAAAUUGCAUGAGCAAUGGAAUUUCUCUAAUCUAGUGGGCCAGAGUUGAAUCCUAAGCUUAGAAAACCUGCUACCUGCAAAUCUUGAUUCUGCCUCUGUUUAGUUUUGUCUUCCUUAUCAAACUUGCUGUGUUCUUUUACAAGGCCAUGUAUUGAAAUAGUUAGAUGGUCUUUUCCCAAUUCUCACAUGCUUGCUAACAAGAUUUACUUGUUUACAUCAUGCAAGCAAUUCGCUUCUCUUUUCUGUGAUAUUUAUAAUGCGUUCAAAUUUGGGAAAUCAAAAUUGUCAAUAGCUUAAGACCAAAGCUUUCUGUUCUUUCUGCACUUAAGAGGAAAUCAGUAUUCCAGUGGGGGUUUGAUGU